rnacentral:rRNA from 1 species
GGCAACAGCUCAAAUUUGAAAUCUGCCCGCAAGGGCCGAGUUGUAAUCUAGAGAAGUGUUUUCCGCACCGGACCGUGCACAAGUUCCCUGGAACGGGGCGUCAUAGAGGGUGAGAAUCCCGUAUAUGGCACGGACUACCGGAGCUCUGUGAUACACUCUCAAC